rnacentral:rRNA from 1 species
UAGCGGCAGGCUUAACACAUGCAAGUCGAGGGGCAGCAUAAAACAGCUUGCUGUUUGGUGGCGACCGGCGCACGGGUGCGUAACGCGUAUGCAACCUACCCUGUACUGGGGGAUAGCCCGGAGAAAUUCGGAUUAAGACCCCAUAGCACUUAAGAAUGGCAUCAUUCAUAAGUUAAAGGUUACGGUACAGGAUGGGCAUGCGUCCCAUUAGCUAGAUGGUAAGGUAACGGCUUACCAUGGCAACGAUAGGUAGGGGUCCUGAGAGGGAGAUCCCCCACACUGGUACUGAGACACGGACCAGACUCCUACGGGAGGCAGCAAUGAGGAAUAUUGGACAAUGGGCGCAAGCCUGAUCCAGCCAUGCCGCGUGCAGGAAGAAGCAUCUAUGGUGUGUAAACUGCUUUUGUACGGGAAGAAACACUCCUUCGUGAAGGAGCUUGACGGUACCGUAAGAAUAAGGAUCGGCUAACUCCGUG